rnacentral:rRNA from 1 species
AUUGAACGCUGGCGGCAUGCCUUACACAUGCAAGUCGAACGGUAACAGGUUAAGCUGACGAGUGGCGAACGGGUGAGUAAUGUAUCGGAACGUGCCCAGUCGUGGGGGAUAACUGCUCGAAAGAGCAGCUAAUACCGCAUACGACCUGAGGGUGAAAGCGGGGGAUCGCAAGACCUCGCGCGAUUGGAGCGGCCGAUAUCAGAUUAGGUAGUUGGUGGGGUAAAGGCUCACCAAGCCGACGACCUGUAGCUGGUCUGAGAGGACGACCAGCCACACUGGGACUGAGACACGGCCCAGACUCCUACGGGAGGCAGCAGUGGGGAAUUUUGGACAAUGGGCGCAAGCCUGAUCCAGCCAUGCCGCGUGCGGGAAGAAGGCCUUCGGGUUGUAAACCGCUUUUGUCAGGGAAGAAAAGGUUCUGGCUAAUACCUGGGACUCAUGACGGUACCUGAAGAAUAAGCACCGGCUAACUACGUG